AGUCGAGGGGCAGCAUUUCAGUUUGCUUGCAACUGGAGAUGGCGACCGGCGCACGGGUGAGUAACACGUAUCCAACCUGCCGAUAACUCGGGGAUAGCCUUUCGAAAGAAAGAUAUAAUACCCGAUGGUAUAAUCAGACCGCAUGGUCUUGUUAUUAAAGAAUUUCGGUUAUCGAUGGGGAUGCGUUCCAUUAGGCAGUUGGUGAGGUAACGGCUCACCAAACCUUCGAUGGAUAGGGGUUCUGAGAGGAAGGUCCCCCACAUUGGAACUGAGACACGGUCCAAACUCCUACGGGAGGCAGCAGUGAGGAAUAUUGGUCAAUGGGCGCAGGCCUGAACCAGCCAAGUAGCGUGAAGGAUGACUGCCCUAUGGGUUGUAAACUUCUUUUAUAUGGGAAUAAAGUUUUCCACGUGUGGAAUUUUGUAUGUACCAUAUGAAUAAGGAUCGGCUAACUCCGUGCCAGCAGCCGCGGUAAUACGGAGGAUCCGAGCGUUAUCCGGAUUUAUUGGGUUUAAAGGGAGCGUAGGUGGACAGUUAAGUCAGUUGUGAAAGUUUGCGGCUCAACCGUAAAAUUGCAGUUGAUACUGGCUGUCUUGAGUACAGUAGAGGUGGGCGGAAUUCGUGGUGUAGCGGUGAAAUGCUUAGAUAUCACGAAGAACUCCGAUUGCGAAGGCAGCUCACUGGACUGCAACUGACACUGAUGCUCGAAAGUGUGGGUAUCAAACAGGAUUAGAUACCCUGGUAGUCCACACAGUAAACGAUGAAUACUCGCUGUUUGCGAUAUACAGUAAGCGGCCAAGCGAAAGCAUUAAGUAUUCCACCUGGGGAGUACGCCGGCAACGGUGAAACUCAAAGGAAUUGACGGGGGCCCGCACAAGCGGAGGAACAUGUGGUUUAAUUCGAUGAUACGCGAGGAACCUUACCCGGGCUUAAAUUGCAUUUGAAUAUAUUGGAAACAGUAUAGCCGUAAGGCAAAUGUGAAGGUGCUGCAUGGUUGUCGUCAGCUCGUGCCGUGAGGUGUCGGCUUAAGUGCCAUAACGAGCGCAACCCUUAUCUUUAGUUACUAACAGGUCAUGCUGAGGACUCUAGAGAGACUGCCGUCGUAAGAUGUGAGGAAGGUGGGGAUGACGUCAAAUCAGCACGGCCCUUACGUCCGGGGCUACACACGUGUUACAAUGGGGGGUACAGAAGGCAGCUACCUGGUGACAGGAUGCUAAUCCCAAAAGCCUCUCUCAGUUCGGAUCGAAGUCUGCAACCCGACUUCGUGAAGCUGGAUUCGCUAGUAAUCGCGCAUCAGCCAUGUCGCGGUGAAUACGUUCCCGGGCCUUGUACACACNCGCCCGUCAAGCCAUGAAAGCCCGGGGGUACCUGAAGUACGUAACCGCAAGGAGCGUCCUAGGGUAAAAC
rnacentral:rRNA from 1 species